rnacentral:rRNA from 1 species
UACGUAGGGGGCAAGCGUUGUUCGGAAUGACUGGGCGUAAAGGGUGCGUAGGCGGUGUAGCAAGUUAGAAGUGAAAUACCUAGAGCUUAACUCAGGUGCUGCUUCUAAAACUGCUAUACUUGAGUGCAGUAGAGGAAAGUGGAAUUCCUAGUGUAGCGGUGGAAUGCGUAGAUAUUAGGAAGAACAUCAGUGGCGAAGGCGACUUUCUGGACUGUAACUGACGCUGAGGCACGAAAGUGUGGGGAGCAAACAGG